UGGGGAAUAUUGCACAAUGGGCGCAAGCCUGAUGCAGCAACGCCGCGUGAACGAUGAAGGUCUUCGGAUCGUAAAGUUCUGUUGCAGGGGAAGAUAAUGACGGUACCCUGUGAGGAAGCCCCGGCUAACUACGUGCCAGCAGCCGCGGUAAUACGUAGGGGGCUAGCGUUAUCCGGAUUUACUGGGCGUAAAGGGUGCGUAGGUGGUCUUUCAAGUCGGUGGUUAAAGGCUACGGCUCAACCGUAGUUAGCCUCCGAAACUGGAAGACUUGAGUGCAGGAGAGGAGAGUGGAAUUCCCAGUGUAGCGAUGAAAUGCGUAGAUAGUGGGUGGAACACCAGUAGCGAAGGCGGCUUUCUGGACUGCAACUGACACUGAGGCACGAAAGCGUGGGUAGCAAACAGG
rnacentral:rRNA from 1 species